GCGGGUAUAGCACAACGGCUAGUGCGUCUGCCUUCCAAGCAGAGGAUGUGGGUUCGAUUCCCAUUACCCGCUCA
rnacentral:tRNA from 1 species